rnacentral:rRNA from 1 species
GAUGGACGCUGGCGGCGUGCCUAAUACAUGCAAGUCGAGCGAACAGACGAGGAGCUUGCUCCUCUGACGUUAGCGGCGGACGGGUGAGUAACACGUGGAUAACCUACCUAUAAGACUGGGAUAACUUCGGGAAACCGGAGCUAAUACCGGAUAAUAUAUUGAACCGCAUGGUUCAAUAGUGAAAGACGGUUUUGCUGUCACUUAUAGAUGGAUCCGCGCCGCAUUAGCUAGUUGGUAAGGUAACGGCUUACCAAGGCAACGAUGCGUAGCCGACCUGAGAGGGUGAUCGGCCACACUGGAACUGAGACACGGUCCAGACUCCCACGGGAGGCAGCAGUAGGGAAUCUUCCGCAAUGGGCGAAAGCCUGACGGAGCAACGCCGCGUGAGUGAUGAAGGUCUUCGGAUCGUAAAACUCUGUUAUUAGGGAAGAACAAAUGUGUAAGUAACUAUGCACGUCUUGACGGUACCUAAUCAGAAAGCCACGGCUAACUACGUG